AUGGUGUGCAAACGAAAAUCGCGGAGGCGUGAGUUCCGAUUAGAGAUAAAUGAUGGAUCAACGAUGAUGUGUUUUUGUGGUGGAGUCGUGAGCAGAAAUAUGCGGUGUUGUGUGGUGAACUCGUGGUGUCACACGGUGGUCUGGCACGGUGGCCAGUUGGUGGUCCGUGCGAGACAUUUUGGCGCGAGGAAUCUUGAUAAAUUUCUCUUCUCCUCUAUUUUUCUUUUUGCUUCUCUUUUAUCUCAUUGUUGCCUUUUUUGA